rnacentral:rRNA from 1 species
UGGGGAAUAUUGCGCAAUGGGCGAAAGCCUGACGCAGCGACGCCGCGUGAGGGAUGAAGGUUUUCGGAUCGUAAACCUCUGUCAGAAGGGAAGAAACUACGUUGUGCUAAUCAGCAGCGUACUGACGGUACCUUCAAAGGAAGCACCGGCUAACUCCGUGCCAGCAGCCGCGGUAAUACGGAGGGUGCAAGCGUUAAUCGGAAUUACUGGGCGUAAAGCGCACGUAGGCUGUAGUGUAAGUCAGGGGUGAAAUCCCACGGCUCAACCGUGGAACUGCCUUUGAUACUGCACAACUUGAAUCCGGGAGAGGGUGGCGGAAUUCCAGGUGUAGGAGUGAAAUCCGUAGAUAUUUGGAGGAACAGCAGUGGCGAAGGCGGCCACCUGGACCGGUAUUGACGCUGAGGUGCGAAAGCGUGGG